rnacentral:rRNA from 1 species
CAACUUUCGACAACGGAUCUCUUGGCUCUCGCAUCGAUGAAGAACGCAGCGAAAUGCGAUAAGUAAUGUGAAUUGCAGAAUUCAGUGAAUCAUCGAAUCUUUGAACGCACCUUGCGCCCUUUGGUAUUCCGAGGGGCAUGCCUGUUUGAGUGUCAUUAACAACCAUCAAC